ACAAACACUAGUUAAUACGGUACCAGCCAGGUCAGACCUCAUUACAAACACUAGUUAAUACGGUACCAGCCAGGUCAGACCUCAUUACAAACACUAGUUAAUACGGUACCAGCCAGGUCAGACCUCACUACAAACACUAGUUAAUACGGUACCAGCCAGGUCAGACCUCACUACAAACACUAGUUAAUACGGUACCAGCCAGGUCAGACCUCAUUACAAACACUAGUUAAUACGGUACCAGCCAGGUCAGACCUCAUUACAAACACUAGUUAAUACGGUACCAGCCAGGUCAGACCUCAUUACAAACACUAGUUAAUACGGUACCAGCCAGGUUAGACCUCAUUACAAACACUAGUUAAUACGGUACCAGCCAGGUGGUCUAGUUAAUACGGUACCAGCCAGGUGGUCUAGUUAAUACGGUACCAGCCAGGUGGUCUAGUUAAUACGGUACCAGCCAGGUGGUCUAGUUAAUACGGUACCAGCCAGGUGGUCUAGUUAAUACGGUACCAGCCAGGUGGUCUAGUUAAUACGGUACCAGCCAGGUGGUCUAGUUAAUACGGUACCAGCCAGGUGGUCUAGUUAAUACGGUACCAGCCAGGUGGUCUAGUUAAUACGGUACCAGCCAGGUGGUCUAGUUAAUACGGUACCAGCCAGGUGGUCUAGUUAAUACGGUACCAGCCAGGUGGUCUAGUUAAUACGGUACCAGCCAGGUGGUCUAGUUAAUACGGUACCAGCCAGGUGGUCUAGUUAAUACGGUACCAGCCAGGUGGUCUAGUUAAUACGGUACCAGCCAGGUGGUCUAGUUAAUACGGUACCAGCCAGGUGGUCUAGUUAAUAC